GCGAGGGGAGUGAAAAAGAACCUGAAACCGUGUACGUACAAGCAGUGGGAGCCCCACCACUAAGCCAGUGGUGAACUCCACAUCCGCAUCCUUUGCUGAGGAUACGGUUAACGGAGCGAAAGCGACGUUCAACCGCAAAACAAGCAGAGGGGGCUUAGUGGUGGGGUGACUGCGUACCUUUUGUAUAAUGGGUCAGCGACUUAUAUUCUGUAGCAAGGU
rnacentral:rRNA from 1 species